GGGGGCGUCCGCGCGGGGGAGCGCCGAAACUUGGAGCCCGAGCUCCCGGGCUGGAGGCGAGCCGGCCUCGGGGACGUCACAGCGCUGGAAUCCGAGGAAUGCCGGGCGGCAGGAGCUCCGUGUGCAGGCCCGGGAGCAGUCGCGCACUUUUGGAGCGGUGGCUUGGGGAACUGUUUAAAGCCCUUUCUUGGGUUGAAAAGGGUCCUUGGAGUCGUUGUCACAGAAGAUGUCCCAGAUUGCUUCAGUGUCCCACAUCUCAUACAAAAAUCCGGAGCUCUCAGGGAAGAGAACUGGGAACUAAAAAGCAAAACCUACUGUGCUCAUCAUGUACCAAUUUGUGGUGACUUGACUUCUCUGAGUAUUUGCCAACCACCGGAACAGUGAAGUCAAGAAGCCCCCACACAGGGGCGGAAGGAAAAGGCUGAAGAAAAUUGAAGUCAGUUUCUCAAACUUUCAAGGAGAUAGCUGGAUGGCUUCAGUAUGGACUUGCUAGAUUUCCAAAGAAAAUUUCCGAAUGCUUUGCUGUGCUCCAGGAAGUAUGAAAAGCACUGUAUGUGCCCCCGUGUGAUUACCCCAUUUCCUAGACGAGAAAAGCGAGGAGUGAAGAAAUCACCUGUCUCACCAAGGUUCACAACAGCUAGUGAACUAGGAUAAUGGACCCUUGUCUGGCCCCAAAAUUGCAAGCUCUUAAACUCUUCAAAAUUUCACCAACAUAGGAUUCACAUUAAAAAUAAGUAAAUCCCUGCAGGCUCUCAAAGUGAUACAGAGGAGAGGCCUCUUGGGGUCUUGGAGGAAAGGAAAUGGCAUUUGUGUAUUGCCCCUCUGUGAUACCCAACUCUGAGCACAGAAUGCCGAGACAGCAGUGGUAUGGAGGCACAAAGGUUGCAUGUAGACAUACGAUUCUGGUUCUGCCUCUGACCAGCCAGGUGACCCUGAACAAGCCACUUCACCCUGAGGCCUAAGUUUAUUUUUUAAGUGGAGUGUGACAUGGAGGUCAGAGUUUGGUUGAAUUACUUCAUCUCUGAGGUCUUUCCCAGGUCUGACCUUGAAUGAAUGUAUGGUCCUCCAGGCAGACCGCAUGCCUAUGGAGGAAGCUAAGUGAUAAAGCCAGGAUGUCUCAGGGAGAGAACUGUUUUCACACUGCCUUCGGAAUCAGAAUGAAUGUGGGGGGUGUUGCGGGGUGGGGUGUUCACAGGCAAAAUACACACAUACACACACACACACACACACACACACACACACACACAACUCACACACUAAGAUUUAGCACUAAGCCUGCAGACUCCAUUUAAAUAAUUUUACUCCUAAAAAUUAAAAAAAAUAUUAUUAAUU